GUGGGGAAUAUUGGACAAUGGGGGGAACCCUGAUCCAGCCAUGCCGCGUGUGUGAAGAAGGCCUUUUGGUUGUAAAGCACUUUAAGCGAGGAGGAGGCUACCGAGAUUAAUACUCUUGGAUAGUGGACGUUACUCGCAGAAUAAGCACCGGCUAACUCUGUGCCAGCAGCCGCGGUAAUACAGAGGGUGCGAGCGUUAAUCGGAUUUACUGGGCGUAAAGCGUGCGUAGGCGGCUUUUUAAGUCGGAUGUGAAAUCCCCGAGCUUAACUUGGGAAUUGCAUUCGAUACUGGGAAGCUAGAGUAUGGGAGAGGAUGGUAGAAUUCCAGGUGUAGCGGUGAAAUGCGUAGAGAUCUGGAGGAAUACCGAUGGCGAAGGCAGCCAUCUGGCCUAAUACUGACGCUGAGGUACGAAAGCAUGGGGAGCAAACAGGAUUAGAAACCCCUGUAGUCC
rnacentral:rRNA from 1 species